AGAGUGAAGCAUAAGGAUGAGAAUUCAGAAGGAAGUUUCUCCAGCAGUCAUGGCAAUGGUGGACAAAUGGCCCCGAAUAGAUUCAUAGGUGGUUUCCAGUGGGUGGCACAACUGAGUGGAGGUGUGACGUGGCGGGUGGCCAGGCUAGGUGAGAAAGAUGUCUCUAUGAAAUGAUGAGGGGCUUGUCCUUAAUCCAGUCUGGGACAAGGAGCCUUGGUUGCAGGGUGCAUUUGUAGGCUGUGUUUUUCAGGGAUUACUCUGGAGACCAUGCUCACGUAGACUGGAGCCAUGGCGAUUAACAUUCAGUAGUGUUUAGUAAUGCGGUUGAGAGCUGACGUGGGGCCCAUAGUGAACACUGGCAUAAUGCAUUCAGCUAGGACGGCGGGUGGGGUUUAAGUGGGGGGGAAGGGAGUGUAUCUUAACAGGCCAAGCUCAAUCUUAUAAACAGACUUUUAGAAAAGUGCAAAUACUUCCUCUGAUCUCUUUAUAUAACCCUUGUUCCUCUAAUGACUUUCUGAAAGAAAAUCUCUGGCACUGAAUACCCACCCCAGCAGGACCAUGAGUGGAUGUCCCUUGAGGCUGGGCACUGAGUGCAUGUCAAUCGGUUCUGUUGUCACACCAGCACAGAGGUGGGGUGCCACUGUGGUUAUCCAGUAGGCCAGGAAAUGGCACCAUGGAGAGAUUUUGUAACUCUCCAGGAAGACAUAGCUGGUGGACAGCAAAUCUGCCCACCCCCAGGGGUCAGACAAUGUAGAAGCUAUCUUGUGGACGCCACGAUGUUGACCUAUCAGCGGAUGCUUAUUCCCUUGGGAGGGACUUGAGAUCGUUUCACAAUUUAGGUUUUCUGGCACUUUGGGUAGUAUGUGUCUAAAGCACCUGAGCUACUAGUACGAGGGGAGUUGCUGGUGGGAAGUUGGAUCAUGGGAUCACAGGAUCAUGGGUGACCACAGCUCAGGGCUGAGAGGCCAGGAGGGGAGUGGCUCAGGGCCAGUUCUCCAUGUAGAAACACACCGGAUCUGGUGGCCACAUAAGUUCUCAGAAUCAUGUAGUGCUAUUACUGGUCAAUGGCUUGGCCAUGUAUGUUCCAAAUGGAAACUGGGUGAGACAGGUGUGUUGAGUCUGGUUUGCUGGAGUACCUCUGUACCUGGACCAGGAACAGCACCUGGCACCUGAUGUUUGCUGAGGGAGCCAGUAGGAGACAUGUUGCUAGCACACUGUAAAAGAGAUCCAACCUACUCAGCCACAUUCCUGUUCCUAUUCCUACCAAGUCCUGGAGUCAUUUAUUCCUUUUUUUCUUUGGGUGGGGGAGUGUGUCCCUGGCCAUGAGCUGCCUCUGCUC